GGGCACGACACCGGAGAGGGAGCCUGAGAAACGGCUACCACAUCCAAGGAUGGCAGCAGGCGCGCAAAUUACCCAAUCCCGACACGGGGAGGUAGUGACAAUAAAUAACAAUACGGGGUUCUUUAGGAUCUCGUAAUUGGAAUGAGUACAAUUUAAAUCUCUUAACGAGGAACAAUUGGAGGGCAAGUCUGGUGCCAGCAGCCGCGGUAAUUCCAGCUCCAAUAGCGUAUAUUAAAGUUGUUGCAGUUAAAAAGCUCGUAGUUGAAUUUCGGGGUUAGUAGGUUGGUCAUGCCUCUGGUAUGUACUGGUCUCACUGAUUCCUCCUUCCUGAUGAACCGUAAUGCCAUUAAUUUGGUGUUGCGGGGAAUUUGGACUGUUACUUUGAAAAAAUUAGAGUGUUUAAAGCAAGCUAACGCUUGAAUACAUUAGCAUGGAAUAAUGAAAUAGGACGUUCGAUCCUAUUUUGUUGGUUUCUAGGAUUGACGUAAUGAUUAAUAGGGAUAGUUGGGGGCAUUAGUAUUCAAUUGUCAGAGGUGAAAUUCUUGGAUUUAUUGAAGACUAACUACUGCGAAAGCAUUUGCCAAGGAUGUUUUCAUUAAUCAAGAACGAAAGUUAGGGGAUCGAAGACGAUCAGAUACCGUCGUAGUCUUAACCAUAAACUAUGCCGACUAGGGAUCGGAUGAUGUUAAUUUUUUAAUGACUCAUUCGG
rnacentral:rRNA from 1 species